rnacentral:pre_miRNA from 1 species
CAAACUUAAAUUUGUAUGAAGUUGAAACGUUUGUCUACGUUUGCCGCUAGGGGCGCUGUUCUAAUUGCAUACAAAUUUGAGUUA